GUGGAGACCAGCCAGCCCCAGCAGCAGAGCGACAACAAGUACAUGGCCAGCAGCUACCUGAGCGUGACUGAAAGCUAUUGGAACAGCCACGAGACCUACAGCUGCGUGGUCACGCAUGAGGGCAAACAGGUGGAGAAGACCCUGAAGAAAUCCGAGUGCUCCUAA